GUGCUUGCUUUAGCAGCACAUAUACUAAAAUAGGAACAAUACAGAGAAGAUUAGCACGGCCCCUGCUCAAGGAUGACAUGCAAAUUCGUGAAGCAUUUCAUAUUUUA
ensembl:snRNA U6 U6 spliceosomal RNA